UGGGUUUUCGAUGUGCAUAGGU
rnacentral:siRNA from 1 species